AUAUUUUAACCCUCUCAGAAUCUGGUAAAGGAAAUAACAAAUGUGGUCGUUGCUGAGGUGUUGAGUCUUUAAGAGCUUGUAAAGAUCUGUUUCCAUAAGGUCUUGCACAAUGUAUACGUCUUUCAUUUGUUCAAUAGUUGGAGCUCUGAUAAUAUCAUUUAUUCCGAUAAUAUUCUCAUGCCUGAAGCGCAGUAAGAUCUUUAUCUCUCUCAGAGUUCUCUGGCAGUACGUCUGAUGCUCAAAAGGACUGAUUUUCUUUAUAGCAACUCGAACUUUGUUGACGUUAUCGUAGGCAGAACACACCAUGCCGUACGCCCCCUCGCCGAUGUAGGAGAGGUUGGUGUAGCGCGGCCCCACGUCGAACACUUGGCCCCGCACCAUCUCCGGGCCCCCGGCGCCGGCAGAGCCGCCCGCGGCCGCGGCCCCCGCCACCGCCGCCAUGUUGUCCGUGCCGGGAACCGCGGCGACUGCGUGCGGGGAGGGCCGGGCAGGCGGAGGAAGGAGGAGGACGGGGAAGAGAGUGCGAGGAGAAAGAAGGCGGGCUCCGCCCCGCCGCGCUCCGCAGGCCUGGGCGCCGGCUGCCGGGCCCACUCAGCACCGUCGCCGCCGCGGCCGCUCUGAGGAGACGGAACCACCGCGCGCGCGCGCAUCGACCGCGGCCGAGGAG
rnacentral:lncRNA from 1 species